rnacentral:rRNA from 1 species
UACGGAGGGUGCGAGCGUUGUCCGGAAUCAUUGGGCGUAAGGGCGCGUAGGUGGCUCGGUCAGCGUGCGGUGAAAGCUCGGGGCUCAACCCCGAGUCGGCCGUGCGAACUGCUGGGCUUGAGCACUGUAGAGGCAGGCGGAAUUCCGGGUGUAGCGGUGGAAUGCGUAGAGAUCCGGAAGAACACCGGUGGCGAAGGCGGCCUGCUGGGCAGUGGCUGACACUGAGGCGCGGACAGCGUGGGGAGCAAACAGG